rnacentral:rRNA from 1 species
UACGGAGGGUGCAAGCGUUGCUCGGAAUUAUUGGGCGUAAAGGGCAGGUAGGUGGUCUCGUUUGUCUGGGGUGAAAGCCUUGAGCUUAACUUAAGAAGUGCCCCAGAAACGGCGAGACUAGAGCUCUGGAGAGGGUCGUGGAAUUCCCGGUGUAGCGGUGAAAUGCGUAGAGAUCGGGAGGAACACCAGCGGUGAAGGCGGCGACCUGGACAGACACUGACACUCAACUGCGAAAGCGUGGGGAGCAAACAGG